UCGUUGAACAGUUUGAGCCACUUUUGUAUAGAUGGCGCCGCCAUCGAAAAACCGCACAUACACUCACCCUUCCUGUUUGGUGUCCGAAGACGUACUGAUUUAUUUCAGAGCGAUGCGGAUAAUUUAUAGCCGAAUAUCUGAUCAGUUUGCUUUCACGAUGAGUUCGUAAAAACUGGUGUAUGCCGAAAAUUCUGUAAAUGUUAAUAAGUUAAUAUGCGGGCAAAUGUAAAACUUAAACUGUAUGAAAUACUUUCAAUGUAAUAUUUAUUCAGACCAUUCCAAACUAUUCACGCAAAAAUAUAUUAAUGAACAUAACAAUCGCGUUAAGACAGAAAGAAAUAUUUGUAACUCAACGAAUACAAGCAUAAAUUGAUAUAAGUAGCGUAUAAUGCAUCAAAUUACUUUGAUAUUCAAUUAUUAAUAAUUGUAAUGUUUCGUAAAUAUAUGUAGUGUAUAAUACAAGUAACAUCUAUUAUCAAAUAAAUGUGAAUAAAAACUAUUAUAAUAAAUACGUGAACUCCACACACUGUAAAUACGAUUCGUUGCAUCAGUUACAUUCAAUUUCAAACAAUUUUCAACACAAUGAAAUAUAAGAAAAACAAAUUAUAUAAAUCUUUGCACUUUUCAUAUUUAUAUUAUUAUUAAAAAAUGUUGAGCAACUAUAAAACGAAGUAAUGGCAAUAAUGGUUAAAAAUUGACUAAAGAAUUAAUUCAUUUUAACAGAAUCAACAGAAAUAUAACACAUGAUGUUCUUUUUUGUUCAAUUUCAUAAUAAUAUACCUCAAUAAAAUUUUUCCUGUAAAAAACUCGGAAUUUUGUUCUUAUACUCUUCGUUCUAUAAAUAUCUAGAUUGUCAUAUUUGUAUAUAACAGGCUGUUUAAUGUAUUUUGAACUGGGCUUUUACAUAGCAAAUACACCAUAAAUAUAAAUUAUAAUUGUACUGAAAAGUGUAAGAAUAUUGUUGAUUACACAAUGGCCAAUAACAUUUGAAAGCACCAAAACAUCUACUAGUGGAAUUGAGAAAAGAAAAUGCCAAGCUAGGCUGCUGAUAAAUGCAAGAAGAUGGUGUACUCUACAUACAUGCAAUACCUUAUUGUACAAUGUACAAACAUAAUUUUAUAUUCUAUUACGUAUGGUGAUGCGAAGAAAGAUAUCGUUAUUCGAUUCCACAAGUUUUAUUAUUUACAAGCAUUGGUCUAUCAUACAAAAUGUAAAUUUGGUGGACUUACUUUGAAAAUCUUUUUUUCUUUUUCUCUUUACAUUGAAAACUCGAUUUAUCGGAAACAACAGUAGUGCCAGAGUAGUUAAAUGUACUUUUUGUUUGUUUUUCAAGUGGUACAGAUAACACAUAAUGAAUGAUAAACAUACAUAAUUAAAUAAAUUAAAACAGAUUGUAGGAUACAUGCCUGAUCAAAAUCGAUCUUCAUAGUCACAUGUUUCCUUAAUUUGAUAGUAGUGGCGCAAUUAAAUCUAGAUUUAAACAAUAAAUAAUGAAUGAAACUAAUGAAUUGAAAGUAUCUUGCUAACGAUAUUUAAAAACUUUUCAAUUGUAUGUUUAUAAUUCUCAAUAAACUAUAUGGAGUAAUGUGUUAAUAUGUUGAAUGCAUUUAAAACAAUAUGAAGCAUGACAUACAAUUUUCAAAUUAAAGAACAAAAAUGUAAUCAAAUUCAUAACUAAUCUCGUCUAAUUAAUAGCUAACUCAUCUCUAAGCGCUGCUACUACCACAUUAAACAAUUGAAUUUGAGACUUAUGAUUCUAUGAAUAUUGUAAGAAUGCAAUUUAACCUAUACUGGCAUUAAAAGGGUUAAUUAUUGUAGUGUCAGAUAUAUGUUUAUCAACAAACAGAUAUACUCUGUGCUGUAAUCCAACACUAAUAUUUAACUUGUUAAAACAAAACAUUUACCUAAAACGCUUUUUAAUACAGAUAUGUAAAGGUGUGAAAAUUCUUGGGGUUAAGAAAUGUAUCAAGGAAUUUUGUGAAAAUAAUGAAUCUGCAGGAACUCUGAAUAUAUCAAUUGUACACGUAUAUGUAUAUUAUAUGUAUAGAAGUCCAUAAUUUAAAUUCGGAUUAUCACCAA